UACCAGCACCCCGAGUGGUCGGGACGAUUAUUGGGCCUAAAGCAUCCGUAGCCGGUUUUACAAGUCCUCCGUUAAAUCCAGCUGCUUAACAGAUGGGCUGCGGAGGAUACUAUAAGACUAGGAGGCAGGAGAGGCAAGCAGUACUCAGUGGGUAGGGGUAAAAAUCCGUUGAUCCAUUGAAGACCACCAGUGGCGAAGGCGGCUUGCCAGAAUGCGCUCGACGGUGAGGGAUGAAAGCUGGGGGAGCAAACCGGG
rnacentral:rRNA from 1 species